AUUGAACGCUGGCGGCAGGCCUAACACAUGCAAGUCGAGCGCGCGGCGGACGGGUGAGUAACGCGUGGUAACUGCCUAUUAGAGGGGGAUAACUAUUGGAAACGAAAGCUAAUACCGCAUACUAGUAGAAGACCUGCGUUGUAUUAGCUAGUAGGUAGGGUAAUGGCCUACCUAGGCAACGAUACAUAGCCGACCUGAGAGGAUGAUCAGCCACACUGGGACUGAGACACGGCCCAGACUCCUACGGAGGCAGCAGUGGGGAAUAUUGCACAAUGGGCGCAAGCCUGAUGCAGCCAUGCCGCGUGUAUGAAGAAGGCCCUAGGGUUGUAAAGUACUUUCAGUCGGGAGGCGUUACCGACAGAAGAAGCACCGGCUAACUCCGUGCCAGCCGCCGCGGUAAUUC
rnacentral:rRNA from 1 species